rnacentral:rRNA from 1 species
UAGGGAAUCUUCGGCAAUGGACGGAAGUCUGACCGAGCAACGCCUCGUGAGUGAAGAAGGUUUUCGGAUCGUAAAGCUCUGUUGUUAGAGAAGAACGUUGGUAGGAGUGGAAAAUCUACCAAGUGACGGUAACUAACCAGAAAGGGACGGCUAACUACGUGCCAGCAGCCGCGGUAAUACGUAGGUCCCGAGCGUUGUCCGGAUUUAUUGGGCGUAAAGCGAGCGCAGGCGGUUCUUUAAGUCUGAAGUUAAAGGCAGUGGCUUAACCAUUGUAAGCAUUGGAAGCUGGAGGACUUGAGUGCAGAAGGAGAGAGUGGAAUUCCAUGUGUAGCGGUGAAAUGCGUAGAUAUAUGGAGGAACACCGGUGGCGAAGGCGGCUCUCUGGUCUGUAACUGACGCUGAGGAUCGAAGGCGUGGGGAGCAAACAGG